GAUAGGUUCGGGGUGGAAGCGUGGCAACACGCGGAGCUGACGAAUACUAAUCGGUCGAGGGCUUAACCAAA
rnacentral:rRNA from 1 species